rnacentral:RNase_P_RNA from 1 species
CGAGCAAGUUGGGCAAUUACGUGCAUUUUAUGCAUGAGGAAAGUCCGGGCUUCACAGAGCAGGAUAGCGGCUAACGGCCGCCGAGGGUGACCUUAGGGAAAGUGCAACAGAGAUAUACCGCCGUUUUUUAAACGGUAAGGGUGGAAAGGCGAGGUAAGAGCUCACCGGCGUGCGGGAGACCGCACGGCCCUGUAAACCCUAUCCGAAGCAACACCGACCGGGGGGUCUGCUCGACCGUAUCCCCGAAGGGUGGCGUGAGCCCGCCGGCAACGACGGGCCAAGAUAGAUGAUUGCCUUAAAUGACAGAACGCGGCUUACAGAUUUGCUCGCACA